rnacentral:snRNA from 1 species
GGAUGUGAGAGUAAUCUGGCUAUGACAUCUGUAACCCCAUUGAUUGCCAGGGUUGACUUGGCUGAUCUGGCUGGCUAGGUGGGUGUCCCCUUCUUUCCUCCAUGUGUGUCCCUCCCAAAGCUGUGCGCUCAGUCAAAGAAGACAGCCUUCCCUGAACAGACAUGAACCGGUCUUUAGUCAAGGGUGUAUGAGUAGUUGUACUCCCAUGCUAGAACCUCCAAAUAAGUUCCUGGCAUGUAAUAACCUCUCAAUAAAUGUCCAUUGCCAUAUGUGUAACAGUAACCAAAUAU